GCUGGGCAUGGUGGUGCAUGCCUGUAAUCCCAGCUACUUGGGAGGCUGAGGCAAGAGAAUCGCUUGAAUCUGGGAGGCGGAGGUUGCAGUGAGCUGAGAUCAUGCCACUGCACUCCAGCCUGGGUGACAGAGUGAGACUCUGUCUCAA
rnacentral:sRNA from 1 species